rnacentral:tRNA from 1 species
AGGGGCGUAGCUCAAUUGGCAGAGCACCGGUCUCCAAAAUCGGGUGCUGCAGGUUCAACUCCUGCCGCCCCUGCCA